rnacentral:rRNA from 1 species
GAUGAACGCUGGCGGCGUGCCUAAUACAUGCAAGUCGAGCGAACAGAUGAGGAGCUUGCUCCUCUGACGUUAGCGGCGGACGGGUGAGUAACACGUGGAUAACCUACCUAUCAGACUGGGAUAACUUCGGGAAACCGGAGCUAAUACCGGAUAAUAUAUUGAACCGCAUGGGUCAAUAGUGAAAUACGGUUUUGCUGUCACUUAUAGAUGGAUCCGCGCCGCAUUAGCUAGUUGGUAAGGUAACGGGUUACCAAGGCAACGAUGCGUAGCCGACCUGAUAGGGUGAUCGGCCACACUGGAACUGAGACACGGUCCAGACUCCUACGGGAGGCAGCAGUAGGGAAUCUGCCGCAAAGGGCGAAAGCCUGGCGGAGCAACGCCGCGUGAGUGAUGAAGGUCUUCGGAUCGUAAAACUCUGUUAUUAGUGAAGAACAAAUGUGUAAGUAACUAUGCACGUCUUGACGGUACCUAAUCAGAAAGCCACGGCUAACUACGUG